GACGAACGCUGGCGGCGUGCUUAACACAUGCAAGUCGAGCGGAAAGGCCCCUUCGGGGGUACUCGAGCGGCGAACGGGUGAGUAACACGUGAGUAAUCUGCCCUUCACUUUGGGAUAACCGCCGGAAACGGGAGCUAAUACCGGAUACGACCACUCCACGCAUGUGGUGGUGGUGGAAACUUUUUUGGGUGGGGGAUGUGCUCGCGGCCUAUCAGCUGGUUGGUGGGGUAAUGGCCUACCAAGGCUUUGACGGGUAGCCGGCCUGAGAGGGUGACCGGCCACACUGGGACUGAGACACGGCCCAGACGCCUACGGGAGGCAGCAGUGGGGAAUAUUGGACAAUGGGCGGAAGCCUGAUCCAGCAACGCCGCGUGAGGGAUGACGGCCUUCGGGUUGUAAACCUCUUUCAGCACCGACGAAGCGCAAGUGACGGUAGGUGCAGAAGAAGGACCGGCCAACUACGUGCCAGCCGCCGCGGUAAUAC
rnacentral:rRNA from 1 species